rnacentral:rRNA from 1 species
UACGGAGGGGGCUAGCGUUAUUAGGAAUUAUCGGGCGUAAAGGGCGUGUAGGCGGCUUUGUGUGUCCCAUGUGAAAGCCCUCGGCUCAACCGGGGAACUGCAUGGGAAACUGCGGAGCUUGAGUCCGGGAGAGGAUAGUGGAAUUCCCAGUGUAGCGGUGAAAUGCGUAGAUAUUGGGAGGAACACCGGUGGCGAAGGCGGCUAUCUGGACUGGUACUGACGCUGAGACGCGAAAGCCAGGGGAGCAAACGGG